GACGAACGCUGGCGGCGUGCUUAACACAUGCAAGUCGAACGGUGAAGCGCCUUCCUUUUUGGUGGGUGUGGAUGAGUGGCGAACGGGUGAGUAACACGUGAGUAACCUGCCCCCUUCUUCUGGAUAACCGCAUGAAAGUGUGGCUAAUACGGGAUAUUCUGGGUCUGUCGCAUGAUGGGUCUGGGAAAGAUAUUGUUUCGGUGGGGGAUGGGCUCGCGGCCUAUCAGCUUGUUGGUGGGGUGAUGGCCUACCAAGGCGGUGACGGGUAGCCGGCCUGAGAGGGUGGACGGUCACACUGGGACUGAGACACGGCCCAGACUCCUACGGGAGGCAGCAGUGAGGAAUAUUGCACGAUGGGCGCAAGCCUGAUGCAGCGACGCCGCGUGAGGGAUGGAGGCCUGCGGGUUGUGAACCUCUUUCGCCAGUGAAGCAGGCCUGCCUCGUUUGUGGGUGGGUUGACGGUAGCUGGAUAAGAAGCGCCGGCUAACUACGUG
rnacentral:rRNA from 1 species